rnacentral:lncRNA from 1 species
GGAGGGGUGCGGGAGGGGGGACCACGCGGAGAGGAGAGAGGAAGGGGGCAGGGUGUGGAAAUUGGUGGGGAGGAGCACUUUUAGCCCCUUUUAGGGCCUCUUUGGGGGCUAAAGUUUUUAGUCCAAACUUUAGCUAUUCUACACUUUUUGCCCACCUGUUUGGAUCCCAAAAGCUAAAUUUUGGACUAAAAGUGCAGAGCUAAAAUUUAGCCCUUGGAUCCAAACAGGCCCUUAAUAACCGAUGCUUCAUUAAGCAAAAAUAAUGUGCGAAUCAUCAAUCAAUGAUGCACAUCCAUAGUGCAUUUGCAUAUGUACUCC